rnacentral:rRNA from 1 species
CCGGGAACUCAAAGGAGACUGCCAGUGAUAAACUGGAGGAAGGUGGGGAUGACGUCAAGUCAUCAUGGCCCUUACGACCAGGGCUACACACGUGCUACAAUGGCGCAUACAAAGAGAAGCGACCUCGCGAGAGCAAGCGGACCUCAUAAAGUGCGUCGUAGUCCGGAUUGGAGUCUGCAACUCGACUCCAUGAAGUCGGAAUCGCUAGUAAUCGUGGAUCAGAAUGCCACGGUGAAUACGUUCCCGGGCCUUGUACACACCGCCCGUCACACCAUGGGAGUGGGUUGCAAAAGAAGUAGGUAGCUUAACCUUCGGGAGGGCGCUUACCACUUUGUGAUUCAUGACUGGGGUGAAGUCGUAACAAGGUAACCGUAGGGGAACCUGCGGUUGGAUCACCUCCUUACCUUAAAGAA